rnacentral:rRNA from 1 species
GGGGAUGACGUCAAAUCAUCACGGCCCUUACGUCCUGGGCUACACACGUGCUACAAUGGCAGGUACAGAGGGUCGCUACCUAGUAAUAGGAUGCCAAUCUCAAAAAGCCUGUCUCAGUUCGGAUUGAGGUCUGCAACUCGACCUCAUGAAGUUGGAAUCGCUAGUAAUCGCGUAUCAGCAAUGACGCGGUGAAUACGUUCCCGGACCUUGUACACACCGCCCGUCAAGCCAUGGAAGCUGGGGGUGCCUGAAGUCGGUCACCGCAAGGAGCCGCCUAGGGUAAAACUGGUAACUAGGGCUAAGUCG